GAAGGCAGCGACUGGCGUGUCUCCACCAUGGCCUGGGCUCUGCUCCUUGUCACCCUCCUCACUCAGGGCACAGGGUCCUGGGCCCAGUCUGGCCUGACUCAGCCUCCCUCAGUGUCCGGGAAUCUGGGACAGACGGUCACCAUCUCCUGUGCUGGAACCAGCAGUGACAUAGGGAAAUAUAAUGCUGUCGGCUGGUACCAACAGCUCCCAGGCAUGGCCCCCAAAACCCUGAUUUAUGAUGUCAAUAAACGGCCCUCAGGGAUCCCUGGUCGCUUCUCUGGGUCCAAGUCUGGGAACACGGCCUCCCUGACCAUCUCUGGGCUCCAGGCUGAGGACGAGGCUGAUUAUUACUGUGGCUCAGCUAGAAGUGGUAGUACUUUGCACAGUGGCCCAAGGUACUGGGCGCAUUGCGCCUUGACUCAGCCUUCCUCAGUGUCUGGGAAUCCGGGACAGACGGUCACCAUCUCUUGUGCUGGAACCAGCAGUGACAGCGGGGGUAGCAGUUAUGUUAGCUCUUACCAACAGCGCCCGGGCACGGCCCCCAAAACCCUGAUUUAUGAUGUCACUGUCAGCUCCCAGCCUGUGGUGACCCAGGAGCUCUCCCUCACGGUGUUGCCCGGACUGACAGUCACCCUUACCGGCUCUAUGAGAUCCGGGGAGGAACUGGGCUGGUACCUGGACAGCUAUUAA